rnacentral:rRNA from 1 species
GACGAACGCUGGCGGCACGCCUAACACAUGCAAGUCGAACGGAGCUGAGAGAAGCUUGCUUUUCUUAGCUUAGUGGCGAACGGGUGAGUAACGCGUGAGUAACCUGCCCUGGAGUGGGGGACAACAGUUGGAAACGACUGCUAAUACCGCAUAAGCCCACGAUCCGGCAUCGGAUUGAGGGAAAAGGAUUUAUUCGCUUCAGGAUGGACUCGCGUCCAAUUAGCUAGUUGGUGAGGUAACGGCCCACCAAGGCGACGAUUGGUAGCCGGACUGAGAGGUUGAACGGCCACAUUGGGACUGAGACACGGCCCAGACUCCUACGGGAGGCAGCAGUGGGGGAUAUUGCACAAUGGGGGAAACCCUGAUGCAGCGACGCCGCGUGGAGGAAGAAGGUUUUCGGAUUGUAAACUCCUGUCGUUAGGGACGAUAAUGACGGUACCUAACAAGAAAGCACCGGCUAACUACGUG